rnacentral:rRNA from 1 species
UACAGAGAGUGCGAGCGUUGUUCGGAAUCACUGGGCUUGAAGCGCACGUAGGCGGCAUCGUAAGUGUCGGGUGAAAUCCCACGGCUCACCCGUCGGAACGUGCCCGGCCGAGACUGCGAUGCUCGAGUGUGGUAGGGGAGGAACGGAACUCCUGGUGGAGCGGUGAAAUGCGUAGAUAUCAGGAGGAACACCGGUGGCGAAGGCGGUUCUCUGGU